rnacentral:rRNA from 1 species
GACGAACCUGACGAACGUUAUUCGGAAUCACUGGGCUUAAAGGGUGCGUAGGCUGUGCAGAAAGUUGGGUGUGAAAUCCCUCGGCUUAACCGAGGAACUGCGCCCAAAACUACUGUGCUCGAGUGAGAUAGAGGUGAGCGGAACUUAGGGUGGAGCGGUGAAAUGCGUUGAUAUCCUAAGGAACACCGGUGGCGAAAGCGGCUCACUGGGUCUCAACUGACGCUGAUGCACGAAAGCUAGGGGAGCGAACGGG